AAGACUAUAGACCUGCGGAGUACCUGCGGAAGGAUCAUUACAGAAAUAAACUUGAUGGAUUGCUGCUGGCUCCUCAAAGAGCAAUGUGCACGUCUGUCAUCUUUAUCUUUCCACCAUGUGCACUCCGCAUAGGUCUGACAAUCGAAGAGGCUGUCGCUCGCGGCGUCUCUUUGAGGGUUUUCUUGGGAAUUGCAGAAUUCAUUUUCUUGCUCUCUCCCUAUUUUCAGGCCUUAUGCUUUU
rnacentral:misc_RNA from 1 species